UCUUAUGGAUGAGCAAAGAAAUUGGUUUCCUGAGAUGGGAUCUCCUAGUGAAGAUGCUGUGAA
rnacentral:pre_miRNA from 1 species